rnacentral:piRNA from 1 species
UGGGAUUAAAGAUGGGUGCCACCACUGCCC